rnacentral:rRNA from 1 species
AAUUCGCCCUUAGAGUUUGAUCCUGGCUCAGAUUGAACGCUGGCGGCAUGCCUUACACAUGCAAGUCGAACGGCAGCAUGAUCUAGCUUGCUAGAUUGAUGGCGAGUGGCGAACGGGUGAGUAAUACAUCGGAACGUGCCCUGUAGUGGGGGAUAACUAGUCGAAAGAUUAGCUAAUACCGCAUACGACCUGAGGGUGAAAGUGGGGGACCGCAAGGCCUCAUGCUAUAGGAGCGGCCGAUGUCUGAUUAGCUAGUUGGUGAGGUAAAGGCUCACCAAGGCGACGAUCAGUAGCUGGUCUGAGAGGACGAUCAGCCACACUGGGACUGAGACACGGCCCAGACUCCUACGGGAGGCAGCAGUGGGGAAUUUUGGACAAUGGGCGAAAGCCUGAUCCAGCAAUGCCGCGUGUGUGAAGAAGGCCUUCGGGUUGUAAAGCACUUUUGUCCGGAAAGAAAUGGCUCUGGUUAAUACCUGGGGUCGAUGACGGU